rnacentral:rRNA from 1 species
UACGUAGGGUGCAAGCGUUAAUCGGAAUUACUGGGCGUAAAGCGUGCGCAGGCGGUUUUGCAAGACAGAUGUGAAAUCCCCGGGCUUAACCUGGGAACUGCAUUUGUGACUGCACGGCUAGAGUGUGUCAGAGGGGGGUAGAAUUCCACGUGUAGCAGUGAAAUUCGUAGAUAUUGGGAAGAACACCGGUGGCGAAGGCGGCUCUCUGGACCGAUACUGACGCUGAGGCGCGAAAGCGUGGGGAGCGAACAGG